UAAAAAUUAAAUAUUUGAAAGGUUGGUUGAAACCAAUUGAGUUUGAGUUUAUUAUAGACAAAAAAUUGACAAUACAAAAAGAUAACAGUAAUAAAUAAAAUCACAUUUUCUUACCGAAAAACCUGGAAAGUUGCUGCAAAUUAAUUAAAACGUUACCCAUAAUAUUAAAAGAGACAUUUUUUAGGAAAAAAGUAAUAAAUUUAAAACAGCAUUAUUUAAACAAACCUAACCCACGCUUACGACAUACAUAGAAAGAGAAACCGAUAUUACCGAUAUGACAUGACAAAUGAUGUUCCGUCAGUCAAUGCCAACAACGUCAUUUCUCUCAGCUCUCGGUCAAUUUUGCCAAGCAAGAUGGCCGACAUACGAUUCCCACCUGCCCCAUACAAGUUUCAUACCGGUGGUUCUAAGCACAUUGUUUGCACACAAUGUUUUCCCUUACCACCGUCUAUAGAUUACAACUUAAUCUAUAAAUUUGUAAUCUAUAUAUCUAUAGUUGUAAUCUAUAGACGGUGCCCUUACUAUAUAGACAGCCUAAGGCUUGACGUCACAGACAGGGGUGGAGCUUAUAUCGACUCCAAACAAUUUCGUUGAUAACGGUAAAUCCCCAUAAGGAAUUUUUCAUUUAGUGUUCUGGUUUCUGUGGUUUAUACGAAAAAAUAAGACUGUUGGAUAAAUUGUGGAAGGAACGUGCCUUUUAAGUGAUUUCUUUUUGUUUUUGCCCAGAACCUUUUGUUGUUGAUAAAAUAAUGGCUUUGAAACAUGUUCUUAAACUUUAGAGCAUCAAUGCUUUUAUAGAUGACAACAAAAUUAUAAAAAGAGGUGAAAAUGCCUUAAAAUCCAGCCACGUCAAGAAGAUGGACUUUGACUCUGAUUUGCAAAUCAUCAAAGGGGAUGUAUUUGCAAGUAUGAAAAACAAGAGCUACAAGGUAUUUAUAGGUAUG